CUGCGGUUUUUGGUAAAAAAAGUUGAAUUCCGCGAAUUCGUAUGUCACCAUUCAUUACCUAAGAGUAUGAUUGGUGGAGAAACGUUGAACCGGGAGUAAAUGAGAUGAACAAAAUAAAGGGUACAUAAAAGUUAUAAAUUUGUGUCGCGCUGAGUUUUUCUACAUUUAUUUAGAGUAAAAACUCUUUCAUAUGUAUUAGUUCAAAAAAAAAAAAAACUCUCUCAUAUGUAGCAUACCUUUAUUAUUUUAAUUGUUUUUCUUUUUCUACUUGAUUGGUGUGAAAUGAGCGUAAUGUAGCGCUAAUUUUAGUUACUCUACUUUUCUUGCGCUAAAUAUGUUAUACAGUCAGACGCUAAAAUUAUAUAUAUAUAUAUACAUAUAUAUUAUAGUACUUUCUUUCUUUCUUUUUUUUUUUGUUGUUAAAAGAGUAUAGUACUUUCUUUAAAUACAUAAAGUGGCAGACACAAAGGGCUCGAGUUGGUUUUGACUUUUCUGCAUGAUACUGAAAUUAUUUGGCUAGAAAAGUUAUAUCUAGUCAUUUUUUGUUUGUAUCCAUGUAAUUGUUUGAACAUCUCUAUGAUUUAUAUUUAAAUGCAGUAAUCUGUACUUAUGUGACACGUACAGAUGUAUAUUUCUGAUUGACAAGGCUAUUGAAAAUUUUCUGUUUGAUAAUCAGUUUAUUUGUCAUGAAGGCACCAUACACAUGCUAUCUAUACUAUUAUUUAAAAAAUAAAUUUACUUACUAGAUUUCGAUCAGCGCAACCGUACGAGUUUUUAUUUUUA
rnacentral:lncRNA from 1 species